rnacentral:rRNA from 1 species
GAAAUGCGAUACUUGGUGUGAAUUGCAGAAUCCCGUGAACCAUCGAGUCUUUGAACGCAAGUUGCGCCCGAAGCCUUCUGGCCGAGGGCACGUCUGUCUGGGCGUCACGCACCGCGUCGCCCCCCUCCCUCCCGGGGGAGAGGGGCGGAGACUGGCCUCCCGUGCGUCCCGGCGCGCGGCUGGCCUAAACGCAGACCCCGCGGCCGCAAAAAGCCGCGACGAUUGGUGGUGUUAACAGCAUAUCAAAGUCGCGUCUCGAGCGGCCCUCGGGCGCUCAAGGGUCCCUUGAACUCCGGUUCACCGUUGCGACCCCAGAUCAGGCGGGACUACCCGCUGAGUUUAA